UCUCCGCACGAGCACACUGAGGAUAGCUUUAUCCCCUCGCACGCCAGCUGCGGGGUGUGCGCACAGGGCCGCUGGCUCCACGGACCCCCGGGUAUCCUCGCGGGCCUGGCGCCUCGCUGGACCCCAGGGGAUGCUGCACAGAAGCCCGUCCUCAGGUGUCUUGCCUGUCAGCAGAAACGUCUGCGGCUGCGGCCAGCCUCUUAAGACUCACCAAGAAACAGUUGCAAGACAUGCGGCGUGUUGAGCUUAUCCCUUGGUAGAGAAAAUCAAUGCAGUGCUUGUUGGGAAAACUUCAUCUUGUACGAGAUCAGAAACCUGAAUGUCGAAGAAGGAUCCAGGCAGUUCUUCCUGGAGAAGCGCCCGGAAGGAAGUAGAAACACGUCUCCUUUCUUGGACCCAUGACCACAGUCCAAUCGUGCAAACGCCAACUUGUGAGACGUGGGCAGAGCUGGUGACACCCUAAUCGAUUCAUGGGAGGCAGAGGCCGUAAGAGCUGCUGCCGGGGGGCAGAGGCUGGGAUGCAGACCCUGAGGCAGCUCCAGGGGGGCAGCCGGCCUUUCCAGGGCCCUGGACACGAGCAGCACUCAGGGGUGAUCCAGGCAAGUCUGCGUCCCAGAAAGGCCAGGCUUGCGGAAGCCGGCACAGUGGCAGGAGAUCCAAGCGAUGGUGAGAUACGCAGGAAGGCCCCAGACCCACCGGCGCAGCCCCUCAGUGACACAGUCCAGCCCUCUGGUGGGGGAGGGAGGCAGGAUAGGGGUACCCACAAGAGCUAGUGAUUAAAUGACAGUAUCUACUACAAUUUAUUAAGACAAUUUAUUGUCUGUGCUGUGUGCUUUCCACAUAGUAUAUCAUCUUAAAUGAUCUUUAAAAAAAAAAACCCUUAGAUAUAAAUAACAAUUGCCCCUGCUUUCAGGUGGAGAAGAGGUUUAGCAUUUAAGUGGAGUUGGUUCAACAUUCAAAAAUCAAACAUGUCAGUCACUAUAUCAAUAGACCUAAGGACAUGACCAUCUUGAUAAAUGCAGAGAAAGCAUCAUCACAGUAAAAUCUCUUAGCAACCAGGAAAUAAAGGUAAUUUCCUCACUUUGAUAAAGGGUGUCUGCAAAAAACACUACAGCUCACGUCACCCUUAGUGACCAGACUGAGUGCUGUCCCCUCAGACCAAGAGCGAUACAGGAAUGUCCGCUCUCAUCCCUCAUAUUCAGCACUGGGCUGGACUUGCUAGCCAGUGAAAUAAGGCAAGAAAAGGAAAUAAAAGGCAUCCAAAGAAAUAAAGGAAGAAAUAAAACUAUUUUUAUUUGCAGAUGAUAUAACUGUUUACUUAGAAAAAUCCUAAAGAAUCCACACAAAAGCUACUGGAACUAAUAAAUGAGAUUGUCAAGGUCACAGAAUACAACAUCAGUACACAAUUGGUUACACUUCUCUCUACACGCAGUGAACAGUUGGAAACUGAAAGUAAAGUGUGAACAAUGGGUGGAGAGUGGAAAUCGGGAGGCUUGAGAAUUGGAUCCACUGCUGAGUCCCAUCGUGUUUGUGCCCAGGUCCUCUUAUCCUCACUGCCAUCGGGAGGCAGGGUAGCUGUACCCGGGGUCCACACAGGUCACAGCGCACAUCUCGGAGCCAGGUGGUGUGGACUCGAUGUGAAGUGUAAGAGAAAGAGAUCGGUGUCCAGAUUGACACCAAGAUUUUAACGUGAGAGACCAUGCAUCACUUAGAUGAAGAGUCCUUAAAAAAGUGAGUUGCGGUGAGGAAGGUCAGUGGUCCAAACUCCCACUUGAUUCAGGUAAGUAAGCCAUCUAAGCAGUGCUAAUUACCAAACUGAAGUCCAUUUGCACCUUUUCAGAUAGGCACUGAUUCUGGUCAGUGUGGCUCUGUGUGCAGCCAAAUAUUCUCCUUUUCCAACCUCCUUUGCAGCCAGGAUGCAGAGUUCUGGCCAACGGGAAUCCUGCUGGAGAUUUCUGGGAUGUUUUUGCUUUCCUGAUAUAAGUGCUUCUCUUUAUUCCUUGCCAUUUACUUAGUCUACUUCCUGCCUGGAAUUGAUGUGAUGAACCACAAGGGUGAAAGCCACAUGCAAAGGAUGACACAGAAGAGAGACAGAAAGAGCCUGGGAGGCUUAGGACAGAGUGAAGCACUGACCAGUCUGGACCACUGUCUUUGGUCUU